rnacentral:tRNA from 1 species
GGCCGAUCGGCGCAGCGGUAGCGCGCUUUCCUGACACAGAAGAGGUCACUGGUUCGGUCCCAGUAUCGCCCACCA